UACGGAGGGAGCUAGCGUUGUUCGGAAUUACUGGGCGUAAAGCGCGCGUAGGCGGCUUUGUAAGUUAGAGGUGAAAGCCCGGAGCUCAACUCCGGAACUGCCUUUAAAAACUGCAUCGCUUGAAUCCAGGAGAGGUGAGUGGAAUUCCGAGUGUAGAGGUGAAAUUCGUAGAUAUUCGGAAGAACACCAGUGGCGAAGGACGGCCUG
rnacentral:rRNA from 1 species